ACGGAGGGUGAGAGCGUUAAUCGGAAUCACUGGGCGUAAAGCGCGUGUAGGCGGUCUUAUCAGUCAAGGGUGACAUCCCCAGGCUCAACUUCGGAAGUGCGCUCGAAACUGUAAGGCUUGAGUACGGGAGAGGGAAGUGGAAUUCCUGGUGUAGAGGUGAAAUGCGGAGAUAUCAGGAGGAACACCGGUGGCGAAGGCGGCUCACUGGACCGAUACUGACGCUGAGACGCGAAAGCGUGGGGAGCAAACAG
rnacentral:rRNA from 1 species